UGCAAGUCGAACGAUGAAGCCGCUUCGGUGGUGGAUUAGUGGCGAACGGGUGAGUAACACGUGGGCAAUCUGCCCUUCACUCUGGGACAAGCCCUGGAAACGGGGUCUAAUACCGGAUAAUACUCCUGCCUGCAUGGGUGGGGGUUGAAAGCUCCGGCGGUGAAGGAUGAGCCCGCGGCCUAUCAGCUUGUUGGUGGGGUAAUGGCCUACCAAGGCGACGACGGGUAGCCGGCCUGAGAGGGCGACCGGCCACACUGGGACUGAGACACGGCCCAGACUCCUACGGGAGGCAGCAGUGGGGAAUAUUGCACAAUGGGCGAAAGCCUGAUGCAGCGACGCCGCGUGAGGGAUGACGGCCUUCGGGUUGUAAACCUCUUUCAGCAGGGAAGAAGCGCAAGUGACGGUACCUGCAGAAGAAGCGCCGGCUAACUACGUGCCAGCAGCCGCGGUAAUACGUAGGGCGCAAGCGUUGUCCGGAAUUAUUGGGCGUAAAGAGCUCGUAGGCGGCUUGUCACGUCGGAUGUGAAAGCCCGGGGCUUAACCCCGGGUCUGCAUUCGAUACGGGCUAGCUAGAGUGUGGUAGGGGAGAUCGGAAUUCCUGGUGUAGCGGUGAAAUGCGCAGAUAUCAGGAGGAACACCGGUGGCGAAGGCGGAUCUCUGGGCCAUUACUGACGCUGAGGAGCGAAAGCGUGGGGAGCGAACAGGAUUAGAUACCCUGGUAGUCCACGCCGUAAACGUUGGGAACUAAGGUGUUGGCGACAUUCCACGUCGUCGGUGCCGCAGCUAACGCAUUAAGUUCCCGCC
rnacentral:rRNA from 1 species